rnacentral:lncRNA from 1 species
UUCCUAACAUGACCUUGUUUUAAUUGUUUGAAGGGGUUAUCCCCAAUCGUAACAAGUCCAUGCCAAAAGGGAAAGACAUGCAAAGUCGAAAAGAAUUUUGAUUCAAAGCAAAGUCGUGAGUAGUACAUUUAUCGAUUUCUCGAGUCCCAUGGUCGUGGAAGGUCUGCUCCUCCUUGAGGCCCUCCGGCGAUGGAGUCGAUGGUCCCGAUUGGAGGCCGAUCUCCGGGCUGCUCCUCCC